GAACAGACCGAACCCUUCAGGACUAAAAUAUUCACAGGAACGAUCCAGGAGCCUGGCCCUCCCUAGUCUUUUCGGGAAGCUGUACAGUGACCAGGCUUGUGAGACAAAUUCCUGCCUUCCCAGUGGCUCUUUCCUAGCCAAAACCACCUUUGUCAAGACAGGAGAGGGGUGGUGUGAGCCCCUCCCUCCGGGGGCCGCCCCGGGAGAGGGCAUCCCUGCCCGCGGCCAGCGUGGGCCAAGGACGCUUUUUCUUAGCUAUUCAGGGCCCCUGACUGGCAUCACCUCCCAGGACUCCGAAUGCUUCCUUUCUUGUUUUAAUCCUCUUAAGUUUUUUCCCAUUCCCCGUGGCUCGCCCGCCGGGUUCCUAGUGUCUGGAGGGGUGCCUCUCCCGGCGGCCCGGGGAGGCCCGGAGAGGUGCAGGCGGGGUGCUGCGCAGGGCUGCGGAACCAAUCAGCAAUCUUACCUCCUCGGCCAGCGCUUGCGACAGCGCAAUGUCCUCGUGUUUGAAUUGUGAGGACACAAGGACCUCGGCCUUAUGAUUACCGAUCAAUUCCAUGAUUUCAAAAGCCCACAAAAUCACCCCUCAGAAAAAGACCAACUCAAGUAAGAAAGAACUGAAAAGAAAAUUCUUCUUUGCUCAGGGAAGAAAACCGAAGGCGAGAAAACUGAAUGUACUGCAAAAACUGCUACUGAAGCAAAGCAGCAGGCCGGCGUGUUCUCCCGGGGUUCGAGGAAGCGAUACGGCCCGCAGAACCAGAGGAUGUGGAUUAAACCCGUGGAAGGAAAAGCAAAAAGCGACUGAGCAGAAAAAUUUUAAUCAGGAACAGAGAUUACCAUAAUCCUCUCGAUGGGCUUCCUUUGCAAAUAAGGGACAUUUUUAGAGGACAAAUGUCUGAAGGAAAAAAAAAACAAACAAAACAAAAACCAAAAACCAAAACAGUGGGAGCGGUGUGCUAAAUUAGCGCGGGAAACCUGCAGGCUAGGGAACGCUGAGAACGCCGGCCGGCGACAGGGAAGCCAGCGUCUACUGUGCAUCCGCUCGGCAUGGCGACGUGUAAGGCUGGAAUCUGGAAGGCUUCGAGGAUCAGUGUUUCUUCAUGCUUCGUGGUUUCUCAUACGCGAGAUUACCUCAUUCAAGAAGUUAAAUAGCCCAGUCUCCUAAGACUGUCUUAUUUUCUCAGGCAUUCCUGUGGUAUAAUUAUUACUGUAAAGCUUCUUCUCCAUUCAUUCAAUUUUCCUGGGGAUCGGAAGAAAAGUCCACGCAAAUGUUGCACAAACAAAAAUCCUAGGCAGUUAUAAUGAAGAUGUCCUGUUUGGCAACAAUCGCGCUGGUUCAAUAACUAGAGAGCAGACUUGGGGGAAAGGUGGCGGCAGAGGUCAUGGCGGCGGCACACCUUCUAGACUGGACGCACACGGCACGAGCGCGCUGCUGUGUCCUGAGCCCCUUCAAGGGAAGAGCCGGGAGCGGGGAGGUCACUUCUCCAGUCACAGCAAACAAAGAUCACACUUUGAACUCUGCAGGACGAAGUAGAAAAAUGAGCUGCAAAGAUGAGAGCAAAGUGCCUUUCUCCCGAGCCAACCGAUACACAGCGCCCUGUAAGAACUGACUGCUGGCAGUUCCGUGAUAAUAAUACUGUAAUAAUAACAAUCUCGCAUUUACAGAAAGCUUUUCACUCUCCAAAGUGCUUUCCCAUUUAUUAUGAUCUCUUUGAUAUUCCCUCAAAUAGUAAGCAUUCGUCUUUGGCCCCGGAGGAAAGCGUAGUCCUCAUUCAAAGGCUGCUAGGCUGCCGGCUUUGUGUGAGAAAACGGCCCCCGUCAGUGAGUACUUUGCCCACAAGUACGAGUUUUGCUUUCCAUGUAGCAUGAUAAAGCAGCAGCCUCGUGGACUAUGAAAGCAAGUGGAAAUUGCUAAGAAUCAGCUGAAAGGGAAGCUUAUUGGAAAUAAGAAGUUGUUUAUCUUGAAAAUAAUUCUGCAAAUCCACAAAAGUGUUUUGAUGAGGACAGCCGGCAGUCUACCAAAUUGCGUCCCCCAGUUCCUGGGCAUGCGCUCCCACGAGAGACCACGUCUCCUAGCGCCCUCGGUGGGCUCCAACAGCCAUGGGCUAUGCGGAGAAAGGACCCGUUUUUCCCUGAACCUACGGUCACUGGGGAUGUUUCCUUGAGUCCUAGCAGACUCGCGGAGGGACGCGCAGAUGACAACAGUGCCCUGGCAUCCGCUUGCACAACUUGAUGGAGGUCACCUGAUCACGUGAGUGAUUUCAGGAAGACACACUGCCCAAAGCUAUUGUCAGUGUUAACCGUGAGAAAACAAUCUUCCCUCUGCUCAAACAUACACAUACAUGCAUUCAUGCAUAGACUGCACAUAUACAUGUUUACAUACAUGCAUGCAUACGUACAUAGUCGCGCACGCAUUUAUCAUUAUCAGGGGACAUUUUCCUGGAGAGUGGACGCUCUUUCUCGUCCUAACGGCCUGUGUAUCUGUGGGAACUGAGGUACUGCAGGCUUUCUUUUUGUUGUUGCGGGGUGUUAGUGUUUAUAUGUUUUCGGCCUGUAUGGAGUUUUGUGUGCUCACACGGGUACAGGUUUACAUAAAAUGUUUCUCAAUUGCUCUCUGCCCUUUUCUUUUCUUUGAGGUCCCUGAACCUGGCCACCCCAGGACCCUCCUUUCUCCGGCUCCGCGGCAUGCUCUCUGCGUGCUUGCUUUUAUACGUGGUGCCGGGGAUGGAACUCGGUCCUGACGCUGUUGCUACACAGCCUUACCACUGAGCCCUCUCCCGGCUGGGUUUCUGGGUUUUUUGUUUUUUUUUUCUUUGUGGUGUUGUGUGCUUGAGACAGGGUCUCCUGUAGGCCACUAACGUAGCCACGGGUGACCUUACUCUCACUAAAAGUAUGAGACCCUGACCCUGACAACGCAAUGCAUUCUGUCUGGCUUUUGUUCUGUUGUAUUUUUGUGGAAAGGAGGCUGAAGGUUAAACUCGGGCCUUGUGCUCGGCGGCAAGAGCUCCGCCGUUGAGCUAGCCUCAUCCCACUGCUGUUGAGGGGGCAAUGUCCACGUGUCCUUGGCGGUCCCGGCUUCACUGAACUGAAACAAGCAGCUGCUGACCACCGUGAACGCCCGCGCGGUCCAAUGGUGACAGUAAGCGGGCGCCGCUCACCCGGGCAACAAGUGAAACCAAGAAACAGAGUGCAGUGCGUCCCCCAGGGUCUCGGAGGUUCGGGCUCCACCGAAAACAGUCGUUUCCCAGUGCCAGGGAUCAACUCUGCACUCGUUGCCCACAGCGCCUUCCACCACUAAGCCGCAUGUCAGUCUGUGAAAGUGGGUAACAUUUGGAAAGUGUGGGCAGCGCUACAUGUCCAGCUUAGGGUACUGUAUCUACCCUAAACGUGACUGCAAGAUGUGAAGACCGCGUUAUUGCUCCAUUUGGUACUCAGAUUUAUUCAGUUGUCUUUGCCUCUCUCAGAAAUGGCAGCCUUGGUUUUGUGACAAUGUAAGUUUUUGAGGCUAUUUAUCUACAAAUUUUCCAUUAUUGUAAUGACUUUAUUUAUCUUGUGAAAGUCUACUUAUAUGUAUUAGUAGCAGCGGGUGUAUAACAACUGUCUGAAGCAGAAUAAGCUUGUGUAAAAAGAUUAACAAAAAAAAUUGAACAGAAGGAUUCUAAAAUAAAGUGUCUGAUGAAUGUA